GCUGGGCAUGGUGGUGCACACCUGUAAUCCCAGCAACUCGGGAGGCUGAGGCAGGAGGAUCAUGGGUUCAAGGCUAGCCUCAACAACUUAGGGAGGCGACUUAGCGAGACCUUGUCUCAA
rnacentral:sRNA from 1 species